rnacentral:rRNA from 1 species
UAGCUUGAUCCUGGCUCAGGACGAACGCUGGCGGCGCGCUUAACACAUGCAAGUCGAGCGAGAACCAGGGCUUCGGCUCUGGGGACAGCGGCGAACGGGUGAGUAACACGUGGGUAAUCUGCCCUCGGUACUGGGAUAGCCCGGGGAAACCCGGAUUAAUACCGGAUGGCCCUUUGAGUCCUUGGACCUGAAGGAAAAGGUAGCUUCGGCCUCCGACCGAGGAUGAGCCCGCGGCGGAUUAGCUUGUUGGUGGGGUAACGGCCUACCAAGGCUCCGAUCCGUAGCUGGUCUGAGAGGACGAUCACCCACACUGGGACUGAGACACGGCCCACACUCCUACGGGAGGCAGCAGUGGGGAAUCUUGUCCAAUGGGCGAAAGCCUGAGACAGCGACGCCGCGUGCGGAAAGAAGGCCUUCGGGUUGUAAACCGCUUUCAGGAGGGACGAACCCACUCGGGUUAAUAGCCCAGAGGGUGACGGUACCUCCAGAAGAAGCCCCGGCUAACUACGUGCCAGCAGCCGCGGUAAUACGUAGGGGGCAAGCGUUGUCCGGAUUUAUUGGGCGUAAAGAGCGUGUAGGCGGCUAGAUAGGUCCGUUGUGAAAAUUCGAGGCUCAACCUCGAGACGUCGAUGGAAACCAUCUGGCUAGAGUCCGGAAGAGGAGAGUGGAAUUCCUGGUGUAGCGGUGAAAUGC